rnacentral:rRNA from 1 species
AUACGGAGGAUCCGAGCGUUAUCCGGAUUUAUUGGGUUUAAAGGGUGCGCAGGCGGCCAUUUAAGUCAGCGGUUAAAUCGUGGGGCUCAACCCCAUUCUGCCGUUGAUACUGGGUGGCUUGAUUGCGGUCGAGGUUGGCGGAAUUCGUUGUGUAGCGGUGAAAUGCUUAGAUAUGACGAAGAACACCGAUUGCGUAGGCAGCUGACCAGACCGCAAAUGACGCUCAUGCACGAAAGUGCGGGGAUCGAACAGGAUUAGAUACCCUGGUAGUCCGCACAGUAAACGAUGAAUACUUGUUUUCGGCGAUAUAAUGUCGGAGGCAAAGCGAAAGCGAUAAGUAUUCCACCUGGGGAGUACGCCGGCAACGGUGAAACUUAAAGGAAUUGACGGGG